GCAAAGUGCUGCACAAAUAAUCUGGGGAAUAAAAUAAACAGACUCCCUCCCCUUUUGGAGCUUUUGAUAAGAUAUAAAGUAAUUGAUAUAGUAUGUGAUAAUCUUUUUAUUGCCUGUUAUGUGUCAGAUAAUUCAUUUCACUUCACAUCCUUUAUCUCCUUUAAUCUCAACAUACAGAAAAUUAGUUGUUCUCUUGAUGGUAUAUUAUUCAGGAAUUUUAAAUGAUGUUGAUGAACAUGCAGAUACAUUUUGAUAAUAGUGCAUUACAAACACAAGGUAAAAACAAGCGGAAAAAAGCUAUGCAUAACAACUAAAUGGAAAACGGUCUAGAUAGUGAUAAUUUUUUCUACCUUUUAAAUGUCCUAUUAUGAACAUGUAUCUCUCCUAUAGUGAGAGAAUUAAUGAUUUAUUUUAUCUGUGGCAGCCAAAGAGCAAUUCUUUUCUAACUUUGGGACACUGAUGCACAAUACAAUGAACAUUUAGUGAAGAGAGAUGAGUAUGAGAUGGUGACACUGGAGGAGGCUUCACGAAGCAAUCUAGGGCCCCCUGAGUACUUUGGAGGAAGGAGAAGAUUCCAUAAGAAUGUGGAGGUAUGAUAUUCUAGGAGAAAGAACUUGUACAGCAGCAACUAGAGCUGGACCAUUUGUGAAACAAGAUAAUACUAACUUGCUCAUAUGCUGGCUGUAAGAAUCCAGUGAGGUGGUGUGCGGGACAUCACGUCUAGAUGAGAGAUGCUCAGGAUGGUUUUAUUAGUCCUCAUGACGAUGCUGACAGUGAGAAUAGAGAAGCGAGAUGAACUCCAAACAGACUCCAAAAGAGUGAAUGGCAAACUCGUUAACAGUCUGGUUCUGUAAAUGGACAUAAGAGUACCAAAUAGGUCUUUAGUGUUUCUCACCUCAGGGAUCAGAAAGAGGGUAUCCAAGCCAAGAAAGCAAGACAAGGAGCUGGUAUUAGGUGAAGGUGAUGAGACAAGUUUAAGACAUUUGGCAUUAAAAAAUUUAGGAAGAUGUUCACCAAAUAGUGAAUAGCCAUUAAAUCUUGUUGGGCCUGGAACACAGGCGAGUUCACAGUUAGAUUUGGAAAUUAUCAGCAUAAAAGAAGCAUUGGUUUUGGUUGACUUGAGCCUUGGGAGGUUACCUGUGGUUUAAGGUAGGACAGGGGAAAAGAUGCCAGGUAAGGAGGCAAAGGAAGAGUGCUCAGUGAAAUGGGGAAUAUGGCGAGAUGAGUUGGCAUCACAGAAACAAGAGGAGAAAUCCUUUCCUUUACCUGCUUUAGACUCCUCCUCUUAGUCUAUAAGCUCCGUUGAGUGCAACCUGGAACUCUUUCUCCUCUCCUCCCUUCCCUUAUAUACAGAGGCUAUGGAAUAGGAGAAAACCCACUGGCCCCUUCCCCUAUGCAUUAAAUAAAAUCCUCUAUUUACCCUUUUCUGCCCUCCCAUUUCUUUUCACU